rnacentral:lncRNA from 1 species
UAUAGCAAAAAGCCUGAAGGUUGAUUCUACUCACCAGAACAAAUUCAACUAGAAAAGCUACAAUUUCUGGGGAAAUCGUGUGAAGUGUUCUUGCCUCCACCAGUAGUCUACAACUGGAGUGGGCGGAGUAACUGGGUGAAGUGCCUUGAGUAACUGUUGUGGGGUUGGAGUGGCUGGAGUAACUGUGGAAAGGUUGGACUGGGCAGAGUAACUUUAUGGAGUGGGCAGAGUAACUGUGUGUGGAGUGUUUGGAGUGAGUAAAGAUAGUAAACUUUACACUAACCAAUUGAUCAAAUUUAAAAAGUGCACAUGGCAAGCUUGAUAGUGAGAAAUGUAUUUCAACUUUUAUUUAUUUAUAUAGCACAUUUAAUUGCAACGUUGUUGUCCAAAGUGCUUCACAGUACUUAUAAAAACAUUAGCAGGUGUACAAAAGGCCCUGUCUAUGACAUCACUUGCUGCUGCAGCCUGGCACAGGUCAGAGUAUUUUGGCGGUUGCCAUCUUCAAACGGUCGUAUUUUAAAAACUAUAAAUCCUACAGCGAAGAGCUUUACAUUGUGAGAAUCACAAGACCCAGACCUACAUUUUGCAUAGUAUGUCUCUGAACUAUUCAAAUAAAGGCACAAUCGCAGGCUAGAAAUUGCCCUUUAAGUUUGAGCUGGCUAGAGUGCAGUUUCAAUGAAUGUCAAUGGACGGCGUGAGUUGCAAACAAAUGGUCAUAUUGUGAAAACUUUUGAUAGAAGAUUUGUGUAGGUGGGCUUGAAAAUGAGGGAGUGGUGGCAGUUUAGAAAUCAUGUCCUGAUUUUUCAGCUUUUGCCAACUCCCACUCUAGUUUUGAACAUUUUGCCAUUCAAUCCUAUGGGACCAAUUUCACCACAAAAAAAGACAAUAUUUUGUGAACCAUUCCGUGAAACGUUCCACAAAGUAAUAGCACACCAAUCGGGAACAAUCCGCACGUUUCGGUAUAUUACUGUCUAUGUAGUGUAAAAACUGUGGGAGGAGUUAGGGUGGUAAAUUUGGCUAUAAUAAGAAUAAUAAUAUAUAUGUGAGAUAACAUUAAGUGGUCUUGCUAUGCAAGAACACUUAAUAAGCUGUAGUUGUUCUGGUGACUAUAGUGUCCCUUUAAGUUUACUAGACUGUUCCUGGACAAUUCAGGCUGUUUCAAAGUGGACAUUAUUCUGUUGGGGGGAUAAUUGUGCACACUUUAGGCUUUCUUAAAAUUUGCGUGUUUAUCAACCUGUACCUUCCUCCUGAAAUCCUAAUGAAACAGAAGGCAUGCAACCAGAAUGUGUUUCUAAUUCAUUGUUAUAUUAAUAGCAAAAAGACAAAAUUGUGUCAAGUUAAUUUAUUCUGUAUAUUUUUGCACAUCAGUCACUUGAUUAACUAGACUGUUGCUCUGCUGUUUGCUUUGUGAUUUUUAGUCUUGUGUGAACUCUCCUCCAUUUGUUGGCUGUUUUUUUGAAUGAUAACUAUUCUUUAUAUAUAAUGGGCAAGACUGUGAAAACCCCACCAAUGUUGCAAGUUUGUGCUCCUGGUACCCACCAUAAACCCAUUAAAAG